AGGACGAACGCUGGCGGCGUGCUUAACACAUGCAAGUCGAGCGGAAAGGCCCUUCGGGGUACUCGAGCGGCGAACGGGUGAGUAACACGUGAGUAAUCUGCCCCUAGCUCUGGGAUAGCUCCGGGAAAACCGGGAUUAAUACCGGAUACGACCACUUUAGACAUCUGUUGUGGUGGAAAGAAUUUUGGCUAGGGAUGAGCUCGCGGCCUAUCAGCUUGUUGGUGGGGUAACGGCCUACCAAGGCGACGACGGGUAGCCGGCCUGAGAGGGCGACCGGCCACACUGGGACUGAGACACGGCCCAGACUCCUACGGGAGGCAGCAGUGGGGAAUAUUGCGCAAUGGGCGAAAGCCUGACGCAGCGACGCCGCGUGGGGGAUGAAGGCCUUCGGGUUGUAAACCCUUUCAGCAGGGACGAAGCGAAAGUGACGGUACCUGCAGAAGAAGCGCCGGCUAACUACGUGCCAGCAGCCGC
rnacentral:rRNA from 1 species